CCUCAGUGNAUUAUCAUCACUGAGAACGGUGUCUCUGAAAAUGGGCCAGUUGAUCUGAAUGACGUUCACAGGAAAUACUAUUAUGAACAGUACAUCAACCAAGUGCUGAAAGCUUAUUUGCUUGAUGAUGUGAAUGUCAUUGGCUACACUGCUUGGUCUCUGCUGGACAACCUGGAAUGGGCUGUUGGCUAUACAGAGAGAUUUGGACUUUUCUAUGUCAAUCGCACAGACCCUGAUCUGCCUCGAACMCCCAAAGCCUCUGUGUCCUAUUAUUCCUCCAUCAUCAGCUGCAACGGGUUUCCUGACCCAGCAACUGGACCUCAUGAGUGUUGGAACUCUAACCCUACAAUUGCUGACCCCUAAGCCUGAAGCAACAAAAGAGGCAAUUCCUGGAAUCAACAGUGUGAACUUCCUGGGUAUGAGCCUCUCCUUUGAAGAUGCCGUGACCAGACAUUUGCUUUGCUGAUUGUAGCACUUGCUGGAACAAUUUGUGUGGCUGUUGGAUUGUUUCUAGUAAAAAAUGUGUUCCAAAAGAAAAUUUAAUUGAGGGAGGAAGAGAGAUUCUGAUUGCAGCUUGACUUCCACAUUUAAUGCAGAUAUGUAUAAUUUCCAUAUUGAAAUUUAAAGGGCUGAAUUUUGCAAAAACACAAUCAUCAACAGAGAAUUUGGAGUUUUUGAACACUGUAUGUUAUAUUUGUUCUAUAUUUAAAAUAAUAUAAAUAUAAUUUAUCUUUGCAACCAAAGGUGCAGAGGAGAACUUAUUGCUUACUGGGAAGUUAAGAUGACUGGACCCAGUUUUUUCCAUUUGCACUAUUUGUGGUAUUUAAACUAUUUUUGUUCCUCUUUGUGGUUUUUUUGUGUGUGAAAAAAUGUUAAGCUAACUGAAAUAAAUUACUGGUGAAACCCAUGUCAACUGUGUGUAAAACUCUAGAUUAGUUCUGCCUAUUAUAUCGGUAGAAUGUUUUUGCAUAAUUUGUGUCUUGUGAAACUUUUUACCACCAUAUAAAAAGCACUGAUCAAGUCACUGUCAUACUAACUUAUUGUAACAUCAAGAACCAUUUAUCUAAUMUGUGUGAGACAAACUGGAAGAAAGCACAACAUAAAAACCAACUAAUAUCUGAUUUCUGCUACUUGUCCUAUGAAGCUUCUGUUCAAUAAACU